UUGCAUAUUGAUCAGAUGCUUCAGUGCUCUGAGAGUGUUUAUAGUGCUGUGAGUUUAACACUUCAUCACUGACACACACAACAAUCUUCAUCAACAUGACCUUCAUCAUCAUCUUCAUCUGGACUCUCACAGCGUUUACUCAAGAGUGUAGAGGACAGAUCACCGUCACUCAGAGUCCCUCAAUGACAGCAGCUCAACCAGGACAAACAGUCAAAAUCAACUGUAAAACAAGCAGAGAUGUGUACAAUGAUGGUUCUGAUGAUUUGUUAGCCUGGUACUUACAGAAACCUGGAGAAGCUCCUACACUACUAAUUUAUUGGGCUAACCGCCUCGAGUCUGGAACUCCAUCUAGAUUCAGUGGCAGUGGAUCUGGAACUGAUUUCACUCUGACCAUCAGUGGAGUCCAGACUGAAGAUGCUGGACAUUAUUACUGUACGAGUUACUAUUGCAGAACUAAUUCUUAUGAUGUUUGUAAGGGUGAUUCAAUGUUCACACAGUGA